rnacentral:rRNA from 1 species
AUUGAACGCUGGCGGCUGGCUUAACACAUGCAAGUCGAGCGGAGAUGAGGUGCUUGCACCUUAUCUUAGCGGCGGACGGGUGAGUAAUGCUUAGGAAUCUGCCUAUUAGUGGGGGACAACAUUCCGAAAGGAAUGCUAAUACCGCAUACGUCCUACGGGAGAAAGCAGGGGAUCUUCGGACCUUGCGCUAAUAGAUGAGCCUAAGGCGGAUUAGCUAGUUGGUGGGGUAAAGGCCUACCAAGGCGACGAUCUGUAGCGGGUCUGAGAGGAUGAUCCGCCGGACUGGGACUGAGACACGGACCAGACUCCAACGGGAGGCAGCAGUGGGGAAUAUUGGACAAUGGGGGAAACCCUGAUCCAGCCAUGCCGCGUGUGUGAAGAAGGCCUUAUGGUUGUAAAGCACUUUAAGCGAGGAGGAGGCUACUGAGACUAAUACUCUUGGAUAGUGGACGUUACUCGCAGAAUAAGCACCGGCUAACUCUGUGCCAGCAGCCGCCGUAA